rnacentral:rRNA from 1 species
GAUGAACGCUAGCGGCAGGCCUAAUACAUGCAAGUCGAACGGUGUCUUCGGACAUAGUGGCGCACGGGUGCGUAACACGUAUGCAACCUACCGUAAAUUGGGGGAUAGCCUUUCGAAAGGGAGAUUAAUACCGCAUAAGACAGUAGCUGGGCAUCCAGCAGCUGAUAAAGAUUUAUCGAUGUAAGCUGGGCAUGCGUCCAAUUAGAUAGUUGGUGAGGUAACGGCUCACCAAGGCAAUGAUUGGUAGGGGAACUGAGAGGUCAAUCCCCCACACUGGCACUGGGAUACGGGCCAGACUCCUACGGGAGGCAGCAGUAGGGAAUAUUGGGCAAUGGACGCAAGUCUGACCCAGCCAUGCCGCGCGCAGGAUGAAGGCGUUAUGCGUUGUAAACUGCUUUUAUACAGGAAGAAACGACUCUUGCGAGAGGCAUUGACGGUACUGUAUGAAUAAGCACCGGCUAACUCCGUGCCAGCCGCCGCAGUAAAAC